rnacentral:rRNA from 1 species
CCUACGGGAGGCAGCAGUGAGGAAUAUUGGUCAAUGGACGAGAGUCUGAACCAGCCAAGUAGCGUGAAGGAUGACUGCCCUAUGGGUUGUAGACUUCUUUUAUCUGGGAAUAAAAUGUUCCACGUGUGGGAUCCUGUAUGUACCCUGUGAAUAAGGAUCGGCUAACUCCGUGCCAGCAGCCGCGGUAAUACGGAGGAUCCGAGCGUUAUCCGGAUUUAUUGGGUUUAAAGGGUGCGUAGGGGGAGGGUUAAGUCAGUUGUGAAAGUUUGCGGCUCAACCGUAAAAGUGCAGUUGAAACUGGGAGCCUGGAGUGCGGUAGAGGUGGGCGGAAGGCGUGGUGUAGCGGUGAAAUGCUUAGAUAUCGCGAAGAACUCCGAUUGCGAAGGCAGCUCGCUGGACUGCAACUGACACUGAGGCUCGAAAGUGUGGGUAUCGAACAGGAUUAGAUACCCUAGUAGUC